rnacentral:tRNA from 1 species
GGAAACGUGGCUGAGCGGUUGAAGGCACUGGUUUCGAAAACCAGCAUCGGGGCAACUCGAUCGAGAGUUCAAAUCUCUCCGUUUCCG